UGCCACAGCCAUAUCACCCUGCAGCCCAAGACCAGUUACUCGCUGAAGCUAAGCUGGGCUGAGCCUGGUCAGUUCCUGAAUGGGAAACCUUAUGGGAAAAACUAGGUUGCUUUUGGAA
ensembl:rRNA 5S_rRNA 5S ribosomal RNA